rnacentral:lncRNA from 1 species
GGCUAUCAACCCGGAAAGCAGGUUUGUGCGUCUGGAAGGUCAUUCUUUUCCUCUAGCCAUACCCAGCACGUGCUAGAGAGUCUCCGUCUCCACUCCAUCCAGGCUCCUUGGUCAGUGGGCCUACGCUGGGUAUCUUUCCACACUGGUGUGGGCAGCUGAGCCCACCACAGUCAGGGGUGCCUGGAGUUGUCUCUGACACUCAGAGAGAGGCUGCCAGGCAGGAGUGCUGGAUGUAUAUAUUUCCCUACUCAUUCAUUCAUUCAUUCAUUCAUUCAUUCACUCAUUCAUCGUAAUGCGGAUCUCACUAAUCUGCACAGAGUGUCUUUGAACUCACUGUACUCUAGGUGUGAGGACUGCAGUCAUGAGCUACUGUGCUUGCUUCCUUCGUUCUCAUAUUUGAUAUCUUACAAAUUAAAAAUGUUAGAGCUGGAGGGAAGUUAUUCAGUGUCUUUAAUGGAGAGAUUUGUAAAUUUGUUAAAAACAAAAACGCUGGCCCGGGUAUGUUGGUACACUUUUAAUUCCAGCCCUCAGAAGGCAGAGCCAGGCCGAUCUCUGAGUUCAAGAUCAGCUUGGUCUACAAAGAGAGUUCCAGGACAGCCAUGCUACACAGAAAAUCCUGUCUUGAAAAACAAACACCAAACCAAACCAAACCAAACCAAAAUAAAACAAAAAAUAAACAAGAAAGAAUAC